CCGAUCGGGAGCUGCUGCCGGCGGACGCGAACAUCUCCUCCGGAAUGGGCACCUCCAGCACCGUGUCCAGCGCAUCUUCUCUCUCCAGAUUCGGGCACAGCUUCCUCAUCGAAACGAGGAGCUGCCACCCACCCACCCUAGCUAGCUUGGUGGACUCCAUGCACUAUGAUCGGAAGAGAAAGAGAAAGGGAUAGAGAGAGAGAAAGAGAGAGAGAGAGAAUGAAGGGGGCAUGCAAUUAAUCAGAAUGCAGCUGGCGCACAGUUAGAAUUUGAGGCGGAUCAUCAGUCAUUCUCUUUAGUCGUCGUGGCCGCACGCACGCACGCACGCUCUCCUUCCCUCCCUCUUUCUCUCUUUUCUUUUCUUUUUUCUCUUUUUAUUUAUUUAUUUAUUUAUUUUCCUUCCGUCAAUUUUUCAAAACCUCCUCCCCCCCAAAACCAAAAAAAAAAAAAGAAAAAGAGAGAAAGCCUUAUGUUGAAUGUAAAUUAUUCAAAAUUUUAGUUUCUUUAAAAAAAAAAUUAAAAAAAAGAGAGAAAUGAUCGAUUGUUAUAACUAUACAACUAAAACAGUAUUUGUUUCCGGUUC